rnacentral:rRNA from 1 species
CAUGAUUUGUAGCAAUACAGAUUGAUGGCGACCGGCGCACGGGUGAGUAACGCGUAUGCAACUUACCUAUCAGAGGGGGAUAGCCCGGCGAAAGUCGGAUUAAUACCCCAUAAAACAGGGGUCCCGCAUGGGAAUAUUUGUUAAAGAUUCAUCGCUGAUAGAUAGGCCUGCGUCUGAUUAGCUAGUUGGUGGGGUAACGGCCCACCAAGGCUACGAUCAGUAGGGGUUCUGAGAGGAAGGUCCCCACAUUGGAACUGAGACACGGCCCAGACUCC